UGAGAGAGUGGUAGUAUUGUC
rnacentral:misc_RNA from 1 species